rnacentral:rRNA from 1 species
UUAANUUCGGGGUGGCAGGCGAUACGGNCAUAACUAGAGUGCUGUAGGGGAGACUGGAAUUCCUGGUGUAGCGGUGGAAUGCGCAGAUAUCAGGAGGAACACCGAUGGCGAAGGCAGGUCUCUGGGCAGUAACUGACGCUGAGGAGCGAAAGCAUGGGGAGCGAACAGGAUUAGAUACCCUGGUAGUCCAUGCUGUAAACGGUGGGCGUUAGGCGUGGGGACCGGUUUGGUUUCUGUGCCGUAGCUAACGCAUUAAGCGCCCCGCCUGGGGAGUACGGCCGCAAGGCUAAAACUCAAAGGAAUUGACGGGGGCCCGCACAAGCGGCGGAGCAUGUGGAUUAAUUCGAUGCAACGCGAAGAACCUUACCUGGGUUUGACAUGCACCAGACGGUUGUAGAGAUACGUACCUCCCUUUGUGGUUGGUGUGCAGGUGGUGCAUGGUUGUCGUCAGCUCGUGUCGUGAGAUGUUGGGUUAAGUCCCGCAACGAGCGCAACCCUUGUCUUAUGUUGCCAGCACUUUGGGUGGGGACUCAUGAGAGACUGCCGGGGUUAACUCGGAGGAAGGUGGGGAUGACGUCAAAUCAUCAUGCCCUUUAUGCCCAGGGCUUCACACAUGCUACAAUGGUUAGUACAACGCGCUGCGAACCUGUGAGGGUGAGCGAAUCGCUGAAAGCUAAUCUCAGUUCGGAUUGGGGUCUGCAACUCGACCCCAUGAAGUCGGAGUCGCUAGUAAUCGCAGAUCAGCAAUGCUGCGGUGAAUACGUUCCCGGGCCUUGUACACACCGCCCGUCACGUCAUGAAAGUUGGUAACACCCGAAGCCCAUNGCCUA